rnacentral:rRNA from 1 species
GACGAACGCUGGCGGCGUGCUUAACACAUGCAAGUCGUACGGUAAGGCCCUUUCGGGGGUACACGAGUGGCGAACGGGUGAGUAACACGUGAGUAACCUGCCCACAACUUUGGGAUAACGCUAGGAAACUGGGGCUAAUACUGGAUAUGUGCUCCUGCUGCAUGGUGGGGGUUGGAAAGCUCCGGCGGUUGUGGAUGGACUCGCGGCCUAUCAGCUUGUUGGUGGGGUAGUGGCCUACCAAGGCGGCGACGGGUAGCCGGCCUGAGAGGGUGACCGGCCACAUUGGGACUGAGAUACGGCCCAGACUCCUACGGGAGGCAGCAGUGGGGAAUAUUGCACAAUGGGCGCAAGCCUGAUGCAGCAACGCCGCGUGCGGGAUGACGGCCUUCGGGUUGUAAACCGCUUUCAGCAGGGACGAAGCUUUUUGUGACGGUACCUGCAGAAGAAGCACCGGCUAACUACGUG